rnacentral:rRNA from 1 species
UACGUAGGGUGCGAGCGUUGCCCGGAUUUAUUGGGCGUAAAGAGCUCGUAGGCGGUGUGUCGCGUCGGCCGUGAAAACCUGCAGCUUAACUGUGGGCGUGCGGUCGAUACGGGCAUCACUGGAGUUCGGCAGGGGAGACUGGAAUUCCUGGUGUAGCGGUGAAAUGCGCAGAUAUCAGGAGGAACACCGGUGGCGAAGGCGGGUCUCUGGGCCGAUACUGACGCUGAGGAGCGAAAGCGUGGGGAGCGAACAGG